GAUGAACGCUGGCGGCGUGCCUAAUACAUGCAAGUCGAGCGAACAGACGAGGAGCUUGCUCCUCUGACGUUAGCGGCGGACGGGUGAGUAACACGUGGAUAACCUACCUAUAAGACUGGGAUAACUUCGGGAAACCGGAGCUAAUACCGGAUAAUAUAUUGAACCGCAUGGUUCAAUAGUGAAAGACGGUUUUGCUGUCACUUAUAGCUGGAUCCGCGCCGCAUUAGCUAGUUGGUAAGGUAAAGGCUUACCAAGGCAACGAUGCGUAGCCGACCGGAGGGGGUGAUCGCCCACACUGGAACUGGGACACGGUCCAGGCUCCUACGGGAGGCAGCAGUAGGGAAUCUUCCGCAGUGGUCGAAAGCCUGGCGGAGCAACGCCGCGUGAGUGAUGAAGGUCUUCGGAUCGUAAAACUCUGUUAUUAGGGAUGAACAACUGUGUAAGUAACUAUGCACGGCUUGACGGUACCUAAUCAGAAAGCCACGGCUAACUACGUG
rnacentral:rRNA from 1 species